rnacentral:lncRNA from 1 species
UAACUUUCACCUAGUAAAACACACACAAACACUUCCUGUCUCUCUUCAAAAUUUCGGCCAUAACUCCCCCCUCUUGUUCUUCAUCUUUAAAAAAUCUCCGAGGAUUCUAAGGGUUCUCAAGAAGAUCAAAAGGGGUUUGCAAGUGUUAGGGGUCAUCAAAGGAGCUUUUUACACAAGACUUUGGAGUAUUAUCCUUCUUCUUUCUUCAUCUAAAGAACUCAUCCCUAGCAUUGUGCUAGUAUUUGUGUUUGUUGUUGAUGUUGUUAAGAUGGUAACAAUAUGUGAAUGCCAAAUAGAAGGCAGCUCGACAACACUGAAGGCUUGGAAAAGUGGUAAUAAAGUUACCUAAAAUAAAUAGAUUUUUUAUUAAAUAAAAUAGGAUUUAUUCCUAUGAAAAUGUGUGUACUUAAAACUUGGGUUUUACCCCAUGUGUUUGAUAUUAUAAAAGUGUGGUAUUUUACUCUGAUAAAAUAUUUC